UGCCAGUUAUACCUGUUAAGGAAGUUUUUCUACAUACGCAAUCUUAUAGUAUUUUUAUGAGAUGUUUUUCUUUACAUAGAUGUAACUUGAUGUGUGCUUUUUGGUAAGGUGAGUGCAUCAGAUUUAUAAAAAAGGACAUCAUAAGGGACGACAUCAAAAGUUCAAUGAAGGAUACAAAACUUAAUUCACAUAGUUUUGUCACUGACCCCCCUAACCCCCUCUUAACUUUAUUCGGGAAAAAUUGAUUGACCCAUAUGGAUAUAUGUAAAAAUCAAUGUCGGAUAGCCAAAUCUUGCAGCAGUUCAACCCCCACCCCAAA
rnacentral:lncRNA from 1 species